GAUGAACGCUAGCGGCAGGCCUAACACAUGCAAGUCGAGGGGUAGAAGGAGCUUGCUCCUUUGAGACCGGCGCACGGGUGCGUAACGCGUAUGCAGUCUACCUUGUACAGGGGAAUAGCCCAGAGAAAUUUGGAUUAAUGCCCCAUAGUAUAUAACCUUCGCAUGUUGGUUAUAUUAAAGUUCCAACGGUACAAGAUGAGCAUGCGUCCCAUUAGUUAGUUGGUAAGGUAACGGCUUACCAAGACGAUGAUGGGUAGGGGUCCUGAGAGGGAGAUCCCCCACACUGGUACUGAGACACGGACCAGACUCCUACGGGAGGCAGCAGUGAGGAAUAUUGGUCAAUGGUCGCAAGACUGAACCAGCCAUGCCGCGUGCAGGAAGACGGUCCUAUGGAUUGUAAACUGCUUUUAUACAGGAAGAAACCCUCCCACGUGUGGGAGCUUGACGGUACUGUAGGAAUAAGGAUCGGCUAACUCCGUG
rnacentral:rRNA from 1 species